UAUGGCCAUAUCAUGUUGAAACACCAGCUCUCAUACAAUCACUGAAGUUAAGCAAUGUCAAGUCUGGUCAGUACAUAGAUGGGUGACCACUUGGGAAUACAAGGUGUUGUAAG